rnacentral:rRNA from 1 species
CCUACGGGAGGCAGCAGUGGGGAAUUUUGGACAAUGGGCGCAAGCCUGAUCCAGCCAUGCCGCGUGUGGGAAGAAGGCCUUCGGGUUGUAAACCACUUUUGUCAGGGAAGAAACGGUUUGUCCUAAUACGGCGGACUAAUGACGGUACCUGAAGAAUAAGCACCGGCUAACUACGUGCCAGCAGCCGCGGUAAUACGUAGGGUGCAAGCGUUAAUCGGAAUUACUGGGCGUAAAGCGUGCGCAGGCGGCUUUGCAAGACAGAUGUGAAAUCCCCGGGGCUCAACCUGGGAACUGCAUUUGUGACUGCAUGGCUAGAGUACGGUAGAGGGGGGAUGGAAUUCCGCGUGUAGCAGUGAAAUGCGUAGAUAUGCGGAGGAACACCGAUGGCGAAGGCAAUCCCCCUGGACCUGUACUGACGCUCAUGCACGAAAGCGUGGGGAGCAAACAGGAUUAGAUACCCUGGUAGUCCACGCCCUAAACGAUGUCAACUGGUUGUUGGACGGCUUGCUGUUCAGUACGAAGCUAACGCGNGAGUGACGCGNGGNGCGGCGCGAGUGACGACAGAGUAGUGCGNGNGAGAGCGACGACGACGACGACGGAGGGAGG